rnacentral:rRNA from 1 species
AUUAAACGCUGGCGGCAUGCCUUACACAUGCAAGUCGAACGGCAGCACGGGGGGAACCCUGGUGGCGAGUGGCGAACGGGUGAGUAAAGCAUCGGAACGUGCCCUGGAGUGGGGGAUAACGUAGCGAAAGUUACGCUAAUACCGCAUAUUCUGUGAGCAGGAAAGCAGGGGAUCGCAAGACCUUGCGCUCUGGGAGCGGCCGAUGUCGGAUUAGCUAGUUGGUGGGGUAAAGGCCUACCAAGGCGACGAUCCGUAGCGGGUCUGAGAGGAUGAUCCGCCACACUGGGACUGAGACACGGCCCAGACUCCUACGGGAGGCAGCAGUGGGAAUUUUGGACAAUGGGCGAAAGCCUGAUCCAGCCAUGCCGCGUGAGUGAAGAAGGCC